rnacentral:rRNA from 1 species
GACGUAGGGGGCGAGCGUUGUCCGGAUUUAUUGGGCGUAAAGCGUGCGUAGGCGGCUGCGCAAGUCGGGUGUGAAACCCCGGGGCUCAACCCCGGAACUGCAUCCGAUACUGCGUGGCUAGAGGUAGGUAGGGGAGAUCGGAAUUCCUGGUGUAGCGGUGAAAUGCGCAGAUAUCAGGAGGAACACCGGUGGCGAAGGCGGCUCUCUGGUCCGAAACUGACGCUGAGGUGCGAAAGCUAGGGUAGCAAACAGG